rnacentral:rRNA from 1 species
GAGUUUGAUCCUGGCUCAGAACGAACGCUGGCGGCGUGCCUAACACAUGCAAGUCGAACGGAUUUGAGGGGCUUGCUCCUCAAGUUAGUGGCGCACGGGUGAGUAACGCGUAGAUAAUCUGCCUGAUGAUCUGGGAUAACACUUCGAAAGGGGUGCUAAUACCGGAUAAGCCCACGGGGUCUUUGGAUUCUGCGGGAAAAGGGGGGGACUUUCGGGCCUUCUGUCAUCAGAUGAGUCUGCGUACCAUUAGCUAGUUGGUAGGGUAAUGGUCUACCAAGGCUACGAUGGUUAGCUGGUUUGAGAGAAUGAUCAGCCACACUGGAACUGAGACACGGUCCAGACUCCUACGGGAGGCAGCAGUGGGGAAUUUUGCGCAAUGGGCGAAAGCCUGACGCARCAACGCCGCGUGAGUGAUGAAGGCUCUCGGGUCGUAAAGCUCUGUCGAGGGGAAAGAAGUGUAUUGUGGCUAAUAUCCACGAUACUUGACGGUACCCCUAAAGGAAGCACCGGCUAACUCCGUGCCAGCAGCCGCGGUAAUAC